GCCCGCGCCUCCGCGGUGCGCAGACGGCGGCGGGCGCAGCCACGGGAAGCCUCGCUCUGCUCUCCAGCGAUGCGCCCUGGCGCCCGGGCAGGGUGCCAUCUUUUAGGGUGAAUUUGGAAGUAGCUGGAGCAACCAAAGGACCAGGACAGGAAAAAUAAAUCAGGACCAUGGACAAGGACUGGAGAAAGGCACGUGGUGGCAGGGACUGCUGGCCUGUGUAAACUUGACCAAGGAUCUGACACACCAAGUCUGCAGAAGUGGAAGGUGUGGCCAGUUCUGGCACUGUCCAGGGGACCCAGUUUGGCACUGAGCACAGUGGCCAGAAGAGCCUGGGCGGACACCCGUUCCGGAACAAAGCAGGUGUCUGGGCAAUGAAAACACUCCGUCCUCAUGGUAAACCUGUGAGGCAGACAUGACAUAAAGUUGUCCCAUUUGAUGAUGAAGGAAACAGAGGCUCCAAGUAGGUAACUGAUGCGCCCAGGAUCAUACAGAUUGUAAAGGAUGAAAACAGAACUCAAAUCCAAGACACUAUUAACAUCCCACAGGAAGUGGUGUUUGUACAGUGCUCCUUGAUUAACGAAUCUCCAGGGAACAAACCUUCUCUGUAGGAUGUGAGGCUGUGCUCAAAAAAACUUCAUAAAUCACGCAGCCACGCUACCUGGGCUGGCAGCGGCAUGCUGGCCACACUCGGUGCAUGGCUCAUGUUUACUACCACCAUGCUGAAGGUGGUGAUGAGAACUGGAUCCUCCUCUUCUUAUUUUUCACAUCUGAUGAUUGGAAGAAUUUUCCAUGUAUUUCUGAAUGCAUUUUAGAAGGCCUCAGAACCACAGCCAGAUGAAUGUACGUCUUGAAAUACUACCACCCAAAACAGUGUCCUCCUUCCUGCUAUUACUAAAUGGUGAAUGAAAGCUACAGGCCACAUCCCUUCAGGUCCUAACGCCAUAUGAGGGUGGAGGAGCACUGGUCACUCUGAGGAGACACCUGGCACUGGGAUAACAGCUGAAGGAGUUGGGCCCGAGGACGGGGCUGGACCUGAGAUGUGUCUUCAUGCAUCCGAGGGGCUGGCCUGAGCAAGAGCAGUUAGACCUGAGCUCUGAGGCCUCCUAGGAUCAGACACAGGGCCAACGGGUGAAAGGCUCAAGAAAGUGAUUUCUACUGGUUCUCAGAAGGGAUUUUCUUACCGCCAGUAGAAUCAGCUCCUUGGCAGCCAGUGGGGCCACAGACUUCAUGGACAGGGCACUGACUUUGGAGUUUCUCUGGGUGUGUAUCUCGUUCUGACUCUUAUUAGCUGUAGGCCACGUGAAAGUCAUGCAAUGUGUCUGAGUCCCAGUUUCCUCAUCCAUAGAAAGGAGGGGGGAAAUUGAGGAACUACCUUGGUUCCUGGAGAAGACCAGGUGGAAUACUUACACCUCGAAAGGCACAGAGAAAGAAUGCAAGUUCCACCAAGAAGGACUUUUGUUUCCUAAAUCCAGAUCUUUUACAACAUCUGCAAGCCUUUCGAGAUGAAUAAGGAGGAUCCCGUCUGCAGAUGCUGGAGUGAGUAAGGUGUCCCAGCAGGUGUCAUCCUGGUCACCAGAAACUCUGCAGAAGGAAAAAUAAUUUUCCUUCUACCCAUUAUGAACGACAAACACUGCCUGAAAUGGACAAGGUGUUUCUUCGCCGACUGCGUGGUGGGAGUGAUUCAGCUGAGUCUGUUAUUCCUACGAGGGCUAACCUGCGGUCCUUCCUACCUUAUCGUCUCCAGGUGAGGGUGUAAUGAGAAGGUGGCUGCUACAACCAGGAAGAGGGUCCUCACCACAACCCGACCAUGGUGGUAUCCUGAUCUCAGACUUCCAGUCUCCAAAACGAGUGAACGUUUUCCACACAGAGAAAGCGGGUGUGCCAGUCGUUAAUGUGUUAUCUCUCAGCUUCGAAAUAACCUUGCGUUGCCCUGCUUGGUGAUGCUGGAGCUGGGCCCUGUAGACAUUUCUCCUUCGCCAGCUGGCUGGCUGUUAGGCUUUGGGAACAGAGGGUGCUGGAGCGCCACUUCAGGGCCAAACAGGAGGAAGGCAUUUCCCUUCCUGUUCCUAGCCCUGGCACCAGCAGGUCAAAGUGGAGAGGGCCUGGAAGUGCUCACCUCAGCAUCCUGCCUGGACCUGCUCCGCUAGCCUGCAAGUUUCCCACUACCCAGGGCCAUUGCUGUGGAUCAGCCCCCAUCUGCAAUCUCUGUCCAGGUUUUCCAGAAAGCAGACCUGAGGCAAGACUCCUGUGCUCGACUUUGUCAGUGAGUGCGACCACAGGAGCCAGAGUAAAGGACAGAGAGAUUCCAGCGGGGAAGGAGAGGAACCGGGGGCAAAGACGCCUUAGCAAGCUGGCUGCCUCCAAGUGCGACUGAGGCUCAGCCCUGCCAAACUGCCCAGACGUGCCUCACGCUCUCCCCUGGCUCCAGGACUCAGAUGCUUUUCUGCACAACUUCUGGAAGCUUUUGAAUCCUUUCACAAACAAAACUCCACACCUCCCUCCGAGCUGACUCAUGAACUUCCUGGGGAAAUUUCUCCUGUUGGUCAGAGAUAUGAUGAAAAAGAAUGCAGAAGAGAUGAGAUGUGAGAAGGACUUCACCACCAUUGCCGGCUUUGAAGAUGAAGGGGUCCAUGAGCCAAAGAAUGUGGGAUGGCCUCUAGAAGCUGAGAACAACACGAGGCCAACAGCCAGCAAGGAGACUUCAGCACUACAACUGCAUGGAACUAAGUUCUGCCAACAACCUGCCUGCAGCAGGGAGCAUCCUCUCCCCCAGGGCCGUCAGUAAAGAAAGCUGUCCUGGCACCUUGGUUCUAGCCUGGUUCCUUUGGCUCUUGGAAUUGAAGCUCCUAGUACAGUGCCUGACUAUGAUUAAGCACUUGGCCACUCAGAAUGGAUGCCAGCUGUUUGCCGUCCUGGUGCAUGUGAAUGACUAUCAGCCCUGUUACAUACCCAAGCACCUUCACACACGUUUAUUUUCUUCAAGUAUUUAGACACCAAAAGUUCUAAAAGAGCAGAACACAUGUCUGUUGAAUGAACAAAUCUGCAAAAUCAAGAGAAGAGGUAAAUAUUAAAGGCCUGAGUUUCUCAGCCAGGGCGUCCCUUCCUUUCUCCUUGAAGGUAAACUUGCAAACCAUGGAAUAUUUCGUCUUGAAGAAUCAGGACCAAGCUCUCAAAAUUCUCUAGCGAGUCUUCUGACAGGUCCUAGAGAUGACCUCUUUAUCAUAGUCAAGAUGAUUUGGUUGUUCAUCCUUUCAUGGUGUCCUUGGCAUCUUUCAGAAAUGGAACCCACACUGAUGGACUCAAUAUAUGAAAAUUCCACUAUCUGGCAAAUAGCCGUGCUUUCUUCAUUUUGUAGACAGGGAUGGGGUGUAGAUUAGAUUAUUCCUCAGCAAAAAGUCACUUCCUCCCUCACUCCCAAUUUCCUGGGAGGAAUAUAUUUUCCUACCCCUUUGACGCUGAGCUUGGCCCUAUAAUAUGCUUUGGUGUCCGCUGCCCCGUCUCUUCACUUGGGCUUGGCCGUCCACGUGAUUUGCUUUGGCCAGUGUGACGUUAGCUGAAGAUAUAAGACUUGAAACAAGGUUGCAUUUCAUCACAGGAAGAACGUGCCUUGGGUAACCUCUUGUUUAAGGAUGACAGGACACAUAGACCAGAUCUUCAUCCAACCUACAGCUUCAUGAUGGUUAAUUUUCUGUACCUUGACUGGGCUAAGGGAUCCCCAAAUAGCUAGUAAAACAUUAUUUCAGAUGUCUCUGUAAGGAUGCUUCAGGGAGAGAUUAGCAUUUGAAUCAGUAAACUGAAUCAAGAACAUCUGCCCUCACCAAUGUGGGUGAGCAUCCUCCAAUCCCUUGAAGACCCAAAUAGAACAAAAAGGGGGAGGAAGGGCAAAUUCGCUCUCGCUCUUCUUGAACUGGGAUGUCCAUCUUCUCCUGCCAUUGGUCAUCAGAGCUUCUGGUUCUCGGGCCUUAGGACUCAGACUGAAUUAUACCAAUGGGUUUUCUGGGUCUCCAGCUUGCAGACAGCAUAUCAUGGGACUUCUCAGCUUCCAUAGUCACACGAACCAAUUCCCAUAAUGAUUCUUCCUUUAUGUAUCUAUAUAUAUUCUAUUGGUUCUGUUUCCCUGGGGGAACCCUGACUAACACCAGCUUGGAGCCAGAUCAAUUGAAGCCCAAAUGACCCACAGAUAUCUGAGAAAUAAAUGUUAAAAAAGAAAAAUCGGUUGCUUUUUUUCAUUUGUUUUUUAAUCAGUGCUUCUCCAGACAAGAUUUUGUUCAGCUUUGCCUAAGUAUAUUCCUCCUGACUGUCACAAGAUUAUCAUUAUCUUUUCAGCCAAGAUGAUGUAUUUAACUGUGGCCUUGCCACAGUAACAGAGAAACUCCUCACAGAUAAACAGGAGGUAGUCACAAA
rnacentral:lncRNA from 1 species